UCCAUUGUGGUCUAGUGGUUAAGACUCUACACUUCCAAUGCAGGGGGCAUGGGUUUGAUCCCUGGUCAAGGAA
rnacentral:tRNA from 1 species